rnacentral:rRNA from 1 species
GACGAACGCUGGCGGCGUGCCUAAUACAUGCAAGUCGAACGCUUCUUUCCUCCCGAGUGCUUGCACUCAAUUGGAAAGAGGAGUGGCGGACGGGUGAGUAACACGUGGGUAACCUACCCAUCAGAGGGGGAUAACACUUGGAAACAGGUGCUAAUACCGCAUAACAGUUUAUGCCGCAUGGCAUAAGAGUGAAAGGCGCUUUCGGGUGUCGUUGAUGGAUGGACCCGCGGUGCAUUAGCUAGUUGGUGAGGUAACGGCUCACCAAGGCCACGAUGGAUAGCCGACCUGAGAGGGUGAUCGGCCACACUGGGACUGAGACACGGCCCAGACUCCUACGGGAGGCAGCAGUAGGGAAUCUUCGGCAAUGGACGAAAGUCUGACCGAGCAACGCCGCGUGAGUGAAGAAGGUUUUCGGAUCGUAAAACUCUGUUGUUAGAGAAGAACAAGGACGUUAGUAACUGAACGUCCCCUGACGGUAUCUAACCAGAAAGCCACGGCUAACUACGUG